AGCUGCAUGCGUCGGAUCUGAAGAGCGUCUGGUCUGGUCGCGGACUUCUGCGCUCUUCUGAUCCAUCGACUUGCUUGGAUAUCUGUUAUCUCGCGAUACUUGGGCACACCAACAGUUUUGCAUGUCGAGCGAAUCAUGGUAACAGCAUGCGUGUAGAUUUAGGCAAAUUACAUUCUAAAACAAACGCCCGGAUCCAUAUGGUUAUAUUGGAGGAUUUCGGAAGGAAAUACACAUUGGUGGAUAUUCCAAAAGCACGACAAAGGUUCCUAUCGCACCGUCUGCAAACUUUUGGAAACUUGUGUUGGUUGCACGACUCCCACUAGCAGGCAGCCACCUUACGCCAGGGAAAGCAGAAGUCAACUCAGUGAGUGGUUCUGCAGGAAUGUCGCAGAAAGAGAGACCCAUAUUCUACCGGCAGGAGGUCAACAAGACCAUCUGGGAGGUUCCGGAGCGCUACAAGUCUCUGCUUCCAGUCGGUUCUGGAGCAUACGGAUCUGUGUGUUCCUCAUUCGACGAGAAGACAUGUCGGAAGAUUGCAGUGAAGAAGCUGUCGAGGCCCUUCCAGUCCAUCAUCCAUGCCAAGAGGACAUACAGAGAACUGCGGCUGCUGAAGCACAUGAACCAUGAAAAUGUGAUCUGUCUUCUCGAUGUCUUCACCCCCGCCACCAGCCUGAAGGAGUUCAACGAAGUGUAUUUUGUGACCCACCUGAUGGGGGCCGACCUCAACAACAUAGUGAAAUGUCAGAAGCUCACAGACGACCAUGUACAGUUCCUCAUCUACCAGAUACUACGAGGUUUGAAGUAUAUCCACUCAGCGGACAUCAUUCACAGAGAUCUCAAACCCAGUAACCUGGCUGUGAAUGAGGACUGUGAACUAAAGAUCCUGGACUUUGGUUUGGCGAGGCACACCGACGAUGAAAUGACGGGCUAUGUGGCCACGCGUUGGUACCGAGCCCCGGAGAUCAUGCUGAACUGGAUGCACUACAACAUGACUGUGGACAUUUGGUCUGUGGGGUGCAUCAUGGCGGAGCUCCUCACAGGAAGAACCCUGUUCCCUGGUACAGACCACAUUGAUCAGUUUGAAGCUUAUCAUGCUGCUCGUCGGAAACGCCAGGGCCUGAGCUUUUGAUGAAAAUAUCUUCUGAGUCUGCCAGGAACUACAUCAACUCAUUGCCGCAGAUGGCCAAGAGGAACUUUGCUGAUGUGUUUAUCGGUGCCAACCCCCAAGCUGUGGAUCUGCUUGAGAAGAUGCUGGUUCUGGACACGGACAAAACGGCUCACUGCGGCCGAAGCUCUGGUCCAUCCCUACUUUGCCCAGUACCACGACCCCGACGAUGAGCCCAAUGCCUGAGCCCUACGACCAGAGCUUUGAGAGCGGGAGCUGGAGAUCAAGGAGUGGAAACGGCUUACCUAUGAGGAGAUGAUGAAUUUUGACCCCCCUACUGAAGAAGACGUCAUGGAAUCGUGAGCACUGUCCUAACCCAUCGACCAGGGCAUCCAGCAGCUUAAUACUGACUCCAAUAUCUUAUCGGAGUGCCUGCAACCCUUCAGCCAAUCACUUUUAAUCAGAGAAAACAUUCACUACUGUUGGUUUUGUUUUUUAUUAGAGGGAACUCAAUCAAAAGUGGAGAUGGCAAGAGACGGUCAUGCUUUUCUAUGAACCACUAGUGCUCUUGGUGUAUCUGCUGGGAAAUGUCCUCCAUCAAAUUUCCCUUUUCCUUUUUCCUGUAGCUUCAAUAGUUGUAUAUCGGUCUCAAGUUGUAUUACAGACUUGUACGACUCACCACUGUGACACUCAGAGAAUGAGAUGCUGAAACGUCCUGAAAUAUAGCUGUGCUAUUGCGUGUGUUUUAAAGAUGUAGGAAUGAAUAACUUAUAUUUAGCUUUUACCUUCUUUAUAAUUAAAAAUAGAAUACUGUAUUCAGUCUUUCACUCUGCCAAGCUGUACACACACACACACACACACACACACACACACACACACACACACACACACACACACACACACACACACACACACGUAAUAUCAAAUGAAUGUCUGUUAGAUUUCUAUUAUAGGCCCUGUCCUUAAUUCUGUACAAUGAUGAGGAAAUUUGCAGUUGUGGGAACAUGUCGCAGCAAUAAGUGUCUGUUUCUCCAUAAGUAUUUUCAUUUUCCAUUGUCCAUAGCUAUUACAUUCUGUGUUUGCUUCAGGUCUCCAGUUACAUUUUUCUUAAACUAGGUAACAAGAAAUAAAUCUUAUUUAAUCCAUAAGAAAUAAUCAAACCCCUUGUUCAAGAACCACACAUGAUUAUAUGACACAAGAAAAAGUGUCACAUCUCAAAUGUGUAAAUAGCAUUUUCUUAUGUCACGAUUCACGAAGCAAUCACUAUCUUUGUGUUUGUGUGUAUGUAUGCAAGAGUGUGAUGUUUGUUUACAGGAAUUUGAAGUGUCCAGCUAAAACUAAUAGAAUUACACAUGAAAUAAGGGAUUUAGAUGUAUUUAUACAUUGUUGAGGUGGUAUUUAUGAACAGCAAUCAAAAAACCCCAGUAAACUAUUUUUAGUUCAGCAGAGUUGCUAUAAUUCUACAUUUGUUUAUCAAAAAUAAAAACUUGUUUUUAAGAA